AGGCUCGUAGUGAUGUCAAUAAGAGAAAUGCCUGGUGGUCGGAGCAAUAAAGCUCAGUAGUGAUAGGCCGAGCAUAGAAUAGAAACCACUGUUGAACAAUAUAGGAGGCAAGCUCGUGAGAUGUUGUUGAAGCUAAAGAACCUCACUCGAAUAGCAAUUGAGCGGAUCCUAAAGACAUGUGAGAAGGUGAUGGAGAUAAUACAACAAAGGAGGAAAAAUAAGAUGAUGCCAGAGUCAAUAAUAAAGUGAUGGAUGAGUCAGUACAAUAAGGAGUCAUUUGUGAAAAUGCUGAGACGUGAUAAAAAAGCAAUUCAAGAAGGCUAAAGCAUGGUACAUGAGAAGGAACUAGUGGAGAUGUCCGCGAGGAGGUACAUGCAGAAGCAUGGAGGUAAUUGAGUAAUUAAGUAAUGCGAUUUGACGCGUGAUGCAAGAGGCACUAGGAUGGUGCACUAUGAAGGUGAAAAUGGAAUGGGCAAUGUAGAAUCUAGGUGCAUA
rnacentral:lncRNA from 1 species